AUGCUGAUGAACACCUUGAAGAGGAUUGCUCUCACAUUUGAAAAAGUUUUAACAGUCCACUAUUUAUGGGAUUCUGAAGGAAGGUUUGUUCCAACAUCUAUCUCUGUCAUUGGGCUGAACACGGCAGACCUAAGGGAACAUUAUAUUUAUAUCCUUAGUCGGAAGCUUGGGAAGGGCCAAGUUGGGACUGCAUACUUCUGCACUGAGAUAAGUACAUCUGACCUGAAGGUUGUAGAGCUUGCAGGAAUUGUUGUCAGCGCUUUGCCUAUGUGCUAUUCACAAGAAUAUUUUAUAAGUAAAAACAUUCUAGAGAAAUCAUGUGAUUCGAUAAAUUUCAAAUUUUUAAAUACCUACUUUUUAUUAAUUGUUUUAAUUCGACAUAGUUUCUGCGAUUUCCUUGAUUUUUUUUCUAAAUUUCUGUGCAUUUUCUGA
rnacentral:rRNA from 1 species